AACUGGGUGGGUUUCAUACUUAGCUUUCUCUGCUCAAUGAAUGUUUUAAUAGCCGCAGUACUCUGACUGUGCAAAGGUAGCAUAAUCAGUUGGCUCAUAAUUGGAGUCUUGUAUGAACGAGUGCAUGGGUAAAGCCUGUCUCAGGGCAAUAGUCAGAACUUUUUAUAGUAAGUGAAAAUACUUGCUUUUUAUUAAAAGACGAGAAGACCCUAGAAAUUUUUUACUAAAGGUGUAUAAUAGCGCCAUAGUAUUUUGCUGGGGCGGCAGAGUAACAUGUGGUAACUUGCUCUAUAGAUAAGACUUUUAUUUACAGGAAGGCUAUAAUUACUCUAGGGGUAACAGCGUAAUUCUGUUGAGUUUGCGACCUCGAUGUUGGACUAGGGAGGAGAGUGCCCAGAAGGUAUUUUUUUUCGUUCUGUUCGAACGAUAGCCCCUACAUG
rnacentral:rRNA from 1 species